rnacentral:rRNA from 1 species
UGGGGAAUAUUGCACAAUGGGGGAAACCCUGAUGCAGCGACGCCGCGUGAGUGAAGAAGUAUUUCGGUAUGUAAAGCUCUAUCAGCAGGGAAGAAAAUGACGGUACCUGACUAAGAAGCCCCGGCUAACUACGUGCCAGCAGCCGCGGUAAUACGUAGGGGGCAAGCGUUAUCCGGAUUUACUGGGUGUAAAGGGAGCGUAGGUGGCAUGGUAAGCCAGAAGUGAAAACCCAGGGCUCAACUCUGUUGAUUGCUUUUGGAACUAUCAAGCUAGAGUGCUGGAGGGGUAAGCGGAAUUCCUAGUGUAGCGGUGAAAUGCGUAGAUAUUAGGAGGAACACCGGUGGCGAAGGCGGCUUACUGGACAGAAACUGACACUGAGGCUCGAAAGCGUGGGGAGCAA